AAGAGGUUCCAUUAACAGAGCCAAAUGCUGGGAUAUGAAUGGAAAUCUGUUCCUGAAGAGUGGUAUCCAAAUCCAGCAGAGAAGUUUUUAGAAGAAUUGACAGCUGGAUCUCUGAUGCAAUGAUGAUUGGACUCAUCGUCCUGCAAGGAAUAUAAAGCUGAG